GAAAUGCGAUAAGUAAUGUGAAUUGCAGAAUUCAGUGAAUCAUCGAAUCUUUGAACGCACAUUGCGCCCGCCAGCAUUCUGGCGGGCAUGCCUGCCCGAGCGUCAUUUCGACCCUCAGGCCGCCCCCGCGCGGCCUGGUGUUGGGUGCCGGCCGCCUGCGCCGCCCCCGAAAUACAGUGGCGACCACGCCGCGUCCUCCCCUGCGCAGUAGCACAUCUCGCACCGGAGCGCGGACGUCGGUCACGCCGUAAAACGCCCCAAUCCAAGAGUUGACCUCGGAUCAGGUAGGGAUACCCGCUGAACUUAA
rnacentral:misc_RNA from 1 species